GUUCUGACAAAAGAGUUACUUUGAUGUAAAUAAUAGAGGUUUAAACCCUCUUAUUUC
rnacentral:tRNA from 1 species